rnacentral:rRNA from 1 species
CGAGAUAGCUGGUUCUCCCUGAAAUAUAUUUAGGUAUAGCCUCGCAUGUUCGUCACCGGAGGUAGAGCACUGAAUGGGCUAGGGGCCUCACCAGGUUACCAAACCCAAUCAAACUCCGAAUGCCGGUGUCCGUAAUGCGGGAGUCAGUCCUAGGGUGCUAACGUCCUAGGUCGAGAGGGAAACAACCCAGACCGCCAGCUAAGGUCCCAAAGCACGUGCUAAGUGGAAAAGGUUGUGGAAGCACAUUGACAACCAGGAGGUUGGCUUAGAAGCAGCCACCUUUUAAAGAAAGCGUAAUAGCUCACUGGUCGAGUGAAUCUGCGCCGAAAAUUUAACGGGGCUCAAGCACGUCACCGAAGCUGCGGGUCAACUUACUUUUGUAAGUGGGCGGUAGGGGAGCAUUCCAGCGGCGUUGAAGCAUGACUGUAAGGACAUGUGGAGCUUCUGGAAGAGCAGAUGCCGACAUGAGUAGCGAUAAAGCAGGUGAGAAACCUGCUCGCCGUAAGCCUAAGGUUUCCUGAGCAAGGUUAAUCCGCUCAGGGUUAGUCGGAUCCUAAGCCGAGGCCGUAUGGCGUAGGCGAUGGAAAACAGGUCAAUAUUCCUGUACCGGCUUGUUAAUGUUGAAGCCAGCGGGGACGGAGAAGGAUAGUUCAGCCAGAUAUCGGAUUCUGGUUCAAACUCGUAGGUGGAAGUUCUAGGACCCCAAGGGACAAACGGAACUUCAUAACACCGAGAAGUGAUGAGAGGCCGAAGAUUCGUUCGGACGCCGAACUGAAUAAUUCCAUGCUUCCAAGAAAAGCCGCGGGUCGAGUUAACAGGCUGACCGUACCUCAAACCAACACAGGUAGGCAGGGAGAGCAUCCCAAGGCGCUUGAGAGAACUCUGGUUAAGGAACUAGGCAAAUUAGCACCGUAACUUCGGGAGAAGGUGUGCCCUUGAUGGUGAUGAGCCUCGCGCUCUGAGCUAUUGGGGGUCGCAGUGACCAGGGGGUAGCGACUGUUUACUAAAAACAUAGGUCUCUGCUAAGUCGCAAGACGAUGUAUAGGGACUGACGCCUGCCCGGUGCCGGAAGGUUAAGAGGAGGGGUUAGCUUAGGCGAAGCUCUGAAUCGAAGCCCCGGUAAACGGCGGCCGUAACAAUAACGGUCCUAAGGUAGCGAAAUUCCUUGUCGGGUAAGUUCCGACCUGCACGAAUGGCGUAACGACUUCCCCACUGUCUCAACCAGGGACUCAGCGAAAUUGAAAUCUCGGUGAAGAUGCCGAGUACCCGCAACAGGACGGAAAGACCCCGUGAACCUUUACUACAACUUGGCAGUGGUAUUCGGGUUAGUCUGUGUAGGAUAGGUGGGAGGCUUUGAAAUCGGAGCGCCAGUUUCGAUGGAGCCAACCUUGAAAUACCACCCUGGCUAACCUGGAUGCCUAACCUCGGUCCGUGAACCCGGGCCAGGGACCCUGUCUGGUGGGUAGUUUGACUGGGGCGGUCGCCUCCCAAAAAGUAACGGAGGCGCGCAAAGGUUCCCUCAGGCUGAUUGGAAACCAGCCGUAGAGUGCAAAGGCAGAAGGGAGCUUGACUGCGAGACCGACGGGUCGAGCAGGUGCGAAAGCAGGUCUUAGUGAUCCGGCGGUCCCGAGUGGAAGGGCCGUCGCUCAACGGAUAAAAGGUACUCCGGGGAUAACAGGCUUAUCUCCCCCAAGAGUUCACAUCGACGGGGAGG